UACUAGAGUAGCACUCGCAUAUCAAUAAGCGGAGGAAAAGAAACUAACAAGGAUUCCCCUAGUAACGGCGAGUGAAGCGGGAAGAGCUCAAAUUUGAAAUCUUAAAGGGUUUCCCUUUACGAAUUGUAGUUUAAAGAAGUGUUUUCUGUUGAGGUUUUGGUAAAAGUUCUUUGGAAUAGGACAUCAUAGAGGGUGAGAAUCCCGUAUUUGACCUUUACUUUCAACUUUGUGAUACACUUUCAAAGAGUCGGAUUGUUUGGGAAUGCAGUCCAAAAUGGGUGGUAAAUUUCAUCUAAAGCUAAAUAUUGGCGAGAGACCGAUAGCGAACAAGUACCGUGAGGGAAAGAUGAAAAGAACUUUGAAAAGAGAGUUAAACAGUACGUGAAAUUGUCAAAAGGGAAGCGUUUGACACCAGUGUUGUCUUUCUGAAAAUCAAUUAAAGAACUGUUUAUGCUAAGCUGUUUAGACUUUAUCAGCUAAUCUGUUUAGUUUUGAGCUUUUCUUUAAUGCACUUUUCAGUUAACAAGUCAACAUCAAUUUCUUUUGCUGUAAAAAAGCUUGAGGAAGGUGGCUUGAGAUUCGUCUUAAGUGUUUAUAGCCUCUUGCCUAUGCAGUCGGAGAGAUUGAGGUCUGCAGCGUAGAUCCUUCGGGGCUAAAUGCAUUUGUGCUAAGUUAUAGCAUUUUAUAGACAACUUGUUGACUAUGAUUUGUCUUGUAGCUUACUCGCUUAUGUUAUUUUACCUACGCUUAGGAUGUUGAGCGCAUGUCUCUCUCU
rnacentral:rRNA from 1 species